AUGGUCUUUCAGGACUUUGAACAAUUCAGUUUGGUGAUGCUAGUAAAAUAUGGCUGGCGUCUUCUAGCCAGUGCGGGCUCUCUUUGCGCCAGCAUAUUGAAGGUACAUGGAAGGCUAUUUGUAGUGGAGCGUGUUGCUUUGGAUGUGGGGCUCAUCAAACGUGUUAGUGAUGGAUCAUCUAUCUUCACAUUAACGAAUAAAUGGAUCCCAAAUAUUGUCAGGCUUAUGCCAAUGGGCGGAUUGAGUAACGACCCGGUGGAGAUAGUCUCGGACGUGAUUGAUCCAUAUACAGGAGGGUGGAACAACGAUAUGGUCCGUAAAAACCUCUUCCCUCCUCAUGCGGAUGCGGUUCUGAACAUCCCUUAG
rnacentral:rRNA from 1 species